GCGCAAGCCUGAUGCAGCCAUGCCGCGUGUGUGAAGAAGGCCUUAGGGUUGUAAAGCACUUUCAGUAAGGAGGAAAGGUUAGUAGUUAAUACCUGCUAGUUGUGACGUUACUUACAGAAGAAGCACCGGCUAACUCCGUGCCAGCAGCCGCGGUAAUACGGAGGGUGCGAGCGUUAAUCGGAAUUACUGGGCGUAAAGCGUACGCAGGCGGUUUGUUAAGCGAGAUGUGAAAGCCCCGGGCUCAACCUGGGAACUGCAUUUCGAACUGGCAAACUAGAGUGUGAUAGAGGGUGGUAGAAUUUCAGGUGUAGCGGUGAAAUGCGUAGAGAUCUGAAGGAAUACCGAUGGCGAAGGCAGCCACCUGGGUCAACACUGACGCUCAUGUACGAAAGCGUGGGGAGCAAACAGGAUUAGAUACCCUGGUAGUCCACGCCGUAAACGAUGUCUACUAGGAGCUGGGGUCUUCGGACAACUUUUCCAAAGCUAACGCAUUAAGUAGACCGCCUG
rnacentral:rRNA from 3 species